AAAACGAGUCGUGGAUCUUGCACCAGGAUAAAGCGUGAAGAGUUAUUUGGCCGCUNCGUCUUACUCACGCGACUUGGCACCCUGCGACUUUUACUUGUUUCCGAAGAUAAAGUCUGCCUUAAAAGGAAUCCGGUUCGAGUCGAUGGACGAGGUGAAACAAAAAUCGGCGGAACUCCUGAAUGGUCUUACGAAAACAGACUUUCAGCACUGCCUCGAGCAACGGAACAAACGAACGAAACGGUGUGUGAUGAGGGGAGGAGAGUAUAUUGAAGGGGAAC